GUGUAUUUGUUUGUUGUUGUUGUUUUUUUUUUAUGAGAAAGUAAUGGUGAGAAAUAAAAAUAUAUAUUAAUGAGGAGAAUUUUUUUUUUUUUUGAUGUUGUGUUUUGGUUAUAGUCUUUGAUAGUUAGAGUAACUUGAAGAUCAUUAGCUAAGAUAUUGCUGUCGUCUUUUACUUCAUUUAUCACGUAUGGGAUAGUUUAUUCAAUAAGGAAUGUUGAAUCGGGGUGGUGAAUAUCAUGGUAUGUUAAUAUGUAUUUCAUGCUCUCAGUUAUUGAGUCACUACAAGAAAAUGAGUGUAUUGUUACGAAAUGUUUCGUCAUAAUAAAAAAUAUUUUGUCACAAUAUUGACAUUGUGACGUAUUUAUAACUGUUUGUAUACGGUUGCA
rnacentral:lncRNA from 1 species